rnacentral:lncRNA from 1 species
GGAAUGUGGACGCAGAGUAGUUGCUGAGUUCCUUAAAGCGGAAAAGAUGCCAGCCAGUACCUUUGUUCACAUUCUGCCCACCAGGACCGCUGCUCCGACAGAUAACACAGGUGCCUGGUACUGCAGGGGGAUGGCUGCACUAUGGAGCCUAGCAAGCUUGCAUUAAACUCAUGUGGGUCAUGCCGGCUGCAGCUGAGUCUGCUGAAACAAUGCCAUGCAAUCCUCCAGCAAGCUCAGGAGGCCAGGAGAGGCAACUGCUGUUCACGGAGCAGAAUGCCUGUUUCCCAGAGACCAGAAUGAGAUAGGAUUUCAAACCAAAGUCCAGCUGGCACAGAACUCAUCACAGAGCACGGCCUCAAACUUAACAGCUCUCCUCCCGCCCACACCUCCCGAGUGUUCAGCACGAGUGUUCAGCGCCUCAGCUGUGCCGACCACAGGCACCGAAGUCUUCCUUUUGUUCUCUGAAGACCUCACUGUAAGGACAGUUUGUUGUUUUUAGAUCUCACUGUUCAACCACAUCCCGCCCUACAUGCAGGUUUUGUGCGCCUUUUUGGCUACAUAUCUAGAUCUCAACAGGACUCUGGAGAUAGAGGGAUACAGACUCGGUAGUAUGUGGAGCACACAGGGUGGCUCGUCCACUCUUCUGCACCUUCCUUCUUCCUACAUCUCUCAAGCAUUAUAUCACGGAGACAGUCUCACACCAAGCACAUCGUAUGUGCGGUAAGCAGUGCAGUGCGCAUGUGCGGCCACACCACUGUUUAUUUGCUAUCUAAGCUGUGCUGCAAAGACUCUCCUUCCGCACUCACAGCUGGUCUGCCUUUCAUAGGUCUGGAGAGACCUAGAAGGAACACAUAAGAAAUCUGGUAAAUGAGAGCAGGGCGUGGUGGCGCACGCCUUUAAUCCCAGCACUUGGGAGGCAGAGGCAGGCAGAUUUCUGAGUUCAAGGCCAGCCUGGUCUACAGAGUGAGUUCCAGGACAGCCAGAGCUACACAGAGAAACCGUCUCGAAAAACAAAAUCAAUCAAUCAAUCAAUCAAUCUGGUGUGUGUGGUGCUUGGGACUGACCCCAGGGUCUCGCUCACGCCAGGCAAGUACUAUCACUGAGUUAGACACCUAGCCUAAAAUGUCUGAUUUUCAAUAAAAUUACUUACC